UCAUCGUCAUCGAACGCCGGUGGUUGGC
rnacentral:sRNA from 1 species